GGGCAUUCUGGGGCCAUGCCAGGGUGCGAUGGCUGAAGGGGAGGAGUUGGCUGGACAGGGGUCUGGUGGCUGUGGGGCCUCCCCAUGGGGCCCCUGCUAACCGUCCGGCCCUCCUCACCCAUGGGCAGGGGCUCAUAGAGGAGAGAGGCAGAGGCAGGAAGGAGAGCAGCGGACUGUGCUCAUCCCUCAGCUAGGCCUGUCCCCUCCAGGCUGCGGCCAGGACCGCACAGCCCCCACCGAACACAGGUGCGGGACGUCCGCCAGGCUUCUAGAUUGUUUCCAGAUUGCUGCUGAGUUUGUUUCAACAGCAGAUGCGGAAGCCCGGCUGCUGCCACCGCAUCCCAGUGCCCUUCCAAAGCCACCUGCUGCGGACAGAAGCAGUUUCAUACACAGAGGAUUCCAGAACAACCAGAGGCGAGCCCUGGACAGGGAGAGCAGGAGGGGCUCUGCGCACGGGCUUGGCUGGCAGUCGUAAGUUUUGCUGUUGCUUACUCUUUGGGUCUGCACUGCCUUUAUGAACUGUAACACUGACCAUGGAGGUCUGCAGCUUCACUCCUCAAGCCAGCAAGACCAGGAGCCCACUGGGAGGAGGAAUGAACAACUCUGGACACGCCACCCUUAAGAGCUGUAACACUCACCGCGACGGUCUGCAGCUUCACUCCUGAAGUCAGCGAGACCACAAACCCACCAGAAGGAAGAAAAUCCGGACACAUCUGAACAUCUGAGGGAACUCCGCACACACCAUCUUUAAGAACUGUAACACUCACCACGAGGGCCCGUGGCUUCAUUCUUGAAGUCAGCAAGACCAAGAACCCACCAAUUCUGGACACAACAGGACACACACAUGGGAGGGGGAGGCCAGAGGGAAACCUAGCUGGCUUGGGGUGGGAAUUUGAAUCCCUGAGCCCAUCUUCUUCUUUCACCACUUUGUCCGGUGACAUUAGGACCAAC
rnacentral:lncRNA from 10 species